ACAGGUAUCUGGAGUCUGAGAAUUACACAUUAUUCAAGUACUGUAUGUAUUGAUUUUUCUCCUUGUUUGGCUUGUCUUAUAGGGAUGCAAGGGAAAGAGGAAACUUCUGUGGAGCCUAUGAAAGUUGACCUCGCAUGUGAAGCAGCAGAUGUUUCAAAUAAGGAUGCUGAAAUGAAUAGUCAAGUUGAAAGUAUAAGUGAUCCUACGGAAACAGAGCGGGAAGCUUAAGUAACAGGAAGGAUGCAGGAGAGGAGAGACCCGAGGAAACCCAAUGGGCAGGCGCUGACAUCUUAGGGCAUCAUUCUUGGCAGAAAAGAGCACGCAGAGAUGCUCCGUGGGUUGGGAGGGAGGGAGCUUUGGGGAAAUGACUCUUUGCUUUAAUUUCUCUUUGUUCUUCAUUGCGUUUCGUUCUGUAAGCCUGUUGGAAAGAAACAUUAACUUCUCAGUUCUAACAAUGUUUUGCAAUUAUCCCUGCAAUUACAACAGUUUCUUCUGAACUGCGAGUGAGUCCCUGUCUUAUAUUGGGUCGCUUUUCCUCCUGCAUCAUACUGCAUCAGUAAUCUAUUUCCAGGCCCACCCCUUUUCUAGCAUCUUUAUCUUUGUUCCCAGUUAUGGUACAGUCUGCAGGCAACCUGUGGGAGCCAGUUUAUCUCCUGCCCCACCCCACCCCCAGCUUUUUUUUUUUUUUUAAGCUGUUCCCUAGGAUAUAAGUGGAGAUUUUCUUUGAGAACAUGAACUGCCACAAAGGAUUAUAAUCCGCACACACUGAUAAACAGCUGCCCUCCUUGUGCUAGGGAUUUUAAAGACUAGAUGCUCCCAAAUCUCAGAAGUAUUGAGAGACAGCCCUGCACGUUCCCAACCUCCAGGCUUGUCUAUCGGCAGCUCCUGUUGGCACCCAUGGUGCCAGAUCCCUGGCUGCUAGAAGAGGCGCUGGCCGGAUUCCCUUGAGUCCAUGCUGGAAGCAGAGUUCUCACAUUAACUCUAUCAUC
rnacentral:lncRNA from 1 species